AGAAAACAAAAAUCUGACAUCUGCCAAAACCCAAUAACAAGUCCCUUCUUAGGAUGAGCAGUUAGGUGGAUCUCUGGUGUUCCAAGACCCUGAUGUUUUCUGUGACAAGUGAUGGGAGGAGACUGUGCUAUAAUGUCAAAAGCAUCGCCAGGAGGAACAGUAGGAUUGCCAAAAGGCGGCUGGGUAUCCUUGGUGUUUGUGCCGCGUUCUCGCCGCGGGAUGGCUCGGCUGACUCAUGUACGGUGUCAUCUGUUCAAAUAGAAAGCACACAUUCCAAUGAGAUUUCACAUCCUUAAUAACUCUCUUGCAGCAGCCUGCUGUUAACAGACCUCGCCACCCUCUGCAAAGUAGGGUAAUGAACCUUGUGCCACCAUUGACUUUCAUGUCUGCAUAAUCACUCAUUAUUUACAGCAAACAAAGAAGAGGCAAAGAAAAUUGGACUUUCUCAGCAAUAUUAAUACUUUCCUUAAAAAUUGAGGGGAAAAAUUAUGCAUACACCGUAACCUUUGGCCUGUGAGCUGCUUUGGUUAGCCAGCAGUCAGACACGCCUUGCACAAAUUUCAGAUAUCUGAAUGUACCUUUGAAACCUAAGAUGUCACAGGCAAGCAAGUGACAUGUUGGUGGGGGUGGGGGAAGGGGCAGUUAUGUUGGCACAGUAGUGGUUAACCAGAAUGCGCUGCCCAUUUCCCUUCUUUUAGCUGUUUCAUAGGAUUAGUGUUGAAUGCCUGGUUGUUGGAUGCCUAGACGAAUUUUCAAACAUGAAAAACUAAAUGCCAAAACAGCAGCAUUUUGGAUAAACUAUACAUCAUGCCUAGUAAACUUCAAUAAACGUAUGCCCACUAGUUUGCCUGCAAUUAGGUGUCAAUUAUGGUGCUAUUUCUAUUACAAACCCUGUAUUUCUAAGAUUAAAUUACUUGAACUUGACUAUUUUUAUUUUUAUCGGGCUGAAGCUUGGCACAUAAAUUAUCAGCGUGGAUGCAAAUUUUCCUCUAAAUAAAAUAGAUUAAGUGAGUUAAGCUUCUUUUAUUUAGCUAUAAAGUGUUCUAUGAGGCUGCCUCUGACUUUGGAUAGCCUUCCUGAUCUGCAUGAUUAACAGGCUUAACUUCCAAAUGGGAACUCUGAAGCAAUUAGUACCAAAGAGAGGUUGGAGGCUUGCCUAGGAGCCAAGCUCUGCUCCAGGGCUGCCUGUCUUCUUCUUUCCACCUGACCUAACUUAUGCUUUUAUUUACUUUUAAUUAAGUUAAAUUAAUUAAUAUUUUUUUAGAGGUAAGGUCUUGCUCUGUUGCUCAGGCUGGAGUACAGUGGCCCAAUCAUAGCUCACUAUAGUCUUGACCUCCUGGGCUCAAGCAAUCCUCCUGCCUCAACCUCCCGAGUAGCUGGGACUCCAGGUGUGAACCACGAUGCCUGGCUAAUUUUAAGAAUUUUUAGAGAGACAGGGUUUUCCUUUGCUUCCCAGGCUAGUCUCAAACUCAGCCUCAACCAACUUCCUCCCUUGGCCUCCCAAAGGAUUGGGAUUAUAGACAUGAGCCACUAUACCUGGCCACUUGUGCUUUUAGACUAAGGAUCUCUGAAUAACACAUUUUGGGGGCCAAUAGUGAGCCCCUGUGCAAAUUUUAUCUCAGCAUCAGGGUAACUUCCUGCAGGUGUUCAGCAGUUGCCAUCUGGGAAUUGCUCAAGGGCCAGACAGAAUGGUAACAAGGCUCUAGUGGUUGUUCUCAAUUAUACUGACCUCAAAGGAUAAUCCCUAAAUACCCCUGGAUGACCCACCUCAAACCCCUUAAUGGGUUAACUAACCAUUAUUUUAAACUCAUUUGUAUUUUCCUACCACACGUGUCACAAUAAGGGUGCUUUUCCUUCACUGGGUAGAAUCACACUCGCUAAUAUUUGUCCUAAAGUAACCACUUUUCAGGUUCACAGGCUGACCCCUGCUUCAGAUAUGCUCGUUUGGGAUGGUUUUGUCCAUCACAUCCAUUCCCAAUGAGAAAGGUCUUCUCAGUGUUGAGUCUCCUGACCUGGAGUGCUCUUACCAUUUUAGCCUCCCCUCGAAUAAAAGCUACUGCAUCCCCUUGUCAAAUGUGCUCCCCUUUCCUGGACCUUAGCGAAUCUGCAUGGAGUGAUUUUAGCUUAGGAGACUAGAAAAGGUUAGGAAGCAAGAUGGUAAGAUAAAUGGAUGCAGAAAAAAUAUAUAUAAAGUCCUCCACAAUGUGGCCAAGUACCUUCAGACCCUCUUCUAUUCUCUGCUCUUUUUCAGCCUUGCAAGUGUAUUAAUUAAAUCUGUAGUUAAUAGGAAGUAGAAGUAAAGGCCCUUAAUAGCCCUGAAAUUAAAAUCCAAAUCACUUUCUUAAGAGCACCAAUAUGUUGUCAAUCAAAACAAUGGAGCACUUCAGGCUUAACUGUGAAAUAACCACAAACCCUGAGGAUUCCAGAGUUCAUUUCACAAUAUCACAUACUUAAACACCUGAAAUUGCAUCAGCUAUUGGAUUCCUCUCCAUCUUAUUUUUACUAGCAUAUUACCCAAUCCUUCUCCUUGUAUAGCUUGCAAGUGUACUGUUAAAGGUACCCAGCUAGCACUUAGAUCUUCGGUGUGAACCCCUUCAUCACCACCCUAGUCCCUUCUAGGUACUCAGUGAGGGCUAUCCAUUAUUCCAGGUCCACUCAGCACAAGACACAAGGAAUAGAUCUUACAAGGUAAUGGAGAGGAAGGCUUUUGUUUUUCAUCUAAGUGAAGUAUGAGGCUAAGUGUGACUUUCAGUCCUUUAACCAUACACAAUCUUUGGAAUUAACCUUUUAUAAGCACCCAACGAAUAUAUAUCUUCCUGCCCCCCAAAAGGAAAUCAGUCCCAUUAGGGCAUCAGGAUCCUUCUCUUCUUCCUGCAACAUGCUGUUCCUCAUUCAGGAUUCCACAAAGCAUCCUUUGAUUAAAACAGGUUCUCAAUGUUGGAAGAUUCUACAGCCCCCAAAUGUGAAAUGAGAAACUGGCUGUCAUUUGGGUAAAUCUGAGCAAUUUCAGAAUUCUAAGGAGGAAUUCAUAGGUAAAAUCUAUCCCAAUGGAAACUACACCUAAACAUGAGAGAAUUUCUAACGCUUGUAACACAGGCUUGGAAGAAGAAAGAAAACGUUCCUCUUCAGAAGUCAAAUCAAGUUUUGCCUCCUGGCUACAGGAUUCCACAACAUGGGGGUUUCAAUGGUUAACGGAGAGAACACUAGCGAUAUUUUGGAGCAUGUUAUGUGGCAUAUGUCUGCCCUGAGAUCAUCCUGCAUCCCUGAUGAUAGGAAACUGGCAGGCAGAGUGUGCAAGCAAACAAAAAAGACAAAUACAUUCCAAAGACAGGUGAAUUAGUACACAUCGCUGAGAUCAUGCAGUGGAAUCCUUUCAGACUUGCUGGGUUCAUAAAGACUGGGUCUACACCCAGAGCUGGGGAAAGGUAAAUACCCUUUCACUCAGUGGCUCGACACAGUGGUGAAGAACUGCAAAUCCAACUAGACUUUCUCUCUCUUCUUAGAGACAGAAUCUUGCUCUGUCACCCAGGAUGGAGCACAGUGGCGUGAUCAUAGCUCACUGUAGCCUCGAACUCCUGGGCUUAAGCAAUCCUCCCACUUCAGUCUCCCAAGUAACUGAGACUAAAGGCACACACACCACAUUUUUUUUUUUUUUUUUUUUUUUUUGGUAAAGACAAGGUUUCACAGUGUUGUCCAGGUUGGUCUCAAACUCUUAGCCUCAAGCAAUCCACCCAUCUCAGCCUCUCAAAUUGCUGGGAUUAUAGGUGUGAGGCACAGUGCCUCACACCUGUAAGAAACACAUUUCUUAUUGUUUUCUUAUUGCCAGGAAUUGUGGUUCAACCUUGUCUCACUUUGUUAGUGAAGAUACUCACCAGCAAGCCCUUAAAAUAUAGCUCUGACUGACUCAAGGAGCUUUUCCUGCAUGUACACCUACGCUCUACUCCCCAGCACACGUAUGCACACACUGAACUACAUUCUGCCAAACUUUUGCAAACUUCCAGCAGUUAUAUGUCCAUCAAUUUUGGGCCAUUGUGCAUUUUAAAUGCUUAGUGAAAAAAAACCUUGUUUCCCCAAAGACAGUGGUAUAUGUUCAUGUAUGAAAGCAUCUCAAUAUCUUGCAUUGUAUCGUUAGUGGAAUUCAAAGGUAAUUUUCCUAAUGGCAGAAUAGUCCUCCAUGUGCCUCUUCAUUACCAGAGAAAAAUAUGCAAUCUGUUAGGUGUCUAAGCAGCCUCCUAUGCUAUAGACAGGCAGUGGAGAUUCCCUGGAAAAAAAACCAUGGGAAAGAUAUGCCUACAUUCUGCACAAUGUGUAUCAAGAGAUCAUAAUCCUGGGUAAUUUUUGUUUAGAACAUGCUGGUCAUUCUUCUCGUGGCUUCUUAACAAAGACAAGAGACUUAAGUCCUCUUUAUGAACAUACCUCUAAUAAUGGUAAGAGACCACUACUUUGAUACUAAUGUUGGAAUAGGAGUCAGAAGAUCUGAGUAUUAAACCUGGAUCUACCUAAUCAGCAAUGUGGCAUGGGUGAGUCUCCUCAGCCAUAGAAGGAAGAGUGUAGAGUCUGGGGUUGUUAAGGGAGAUACUGAGUAACUUGCAGAUCCUCUGGUGGCCCAAGUCCCUGAGCUUGUGAGGACUCUGGUACCUUAAGAAGCCAAAGUCAUGGCUCCAGAUUUCCAGGACACAAUUAAAAUGCCUUCAUGUCAGCAUUCAUUCCUUAAAACUUUCUAAAGCAGCUAACUGAUCCCUGGGGAGCCACUAAGACCUCGGAGAGCUCAUUGUACACACCUCUCAUUUGCGCUCUGGGUGAGAUGCCUGCCUUAGAAAACAAGAAUGCUUCAGGGAAAAAACUCUAACUCUUCCUGUCAGUUUUAACAGGAAAGCUAUUGUAUGUCCUGAGGCACAGCAUUUACUCAGGGUAAGUUUCCCUAAGGUUCAUUGACUAUGCAGUCCUGGUUACAAUAUUGGAGGAAAAAGUGGACCUUAAUGUCCGUUAGUUUCUAGGACCAUAAGGAAGAGAAAUUCUACAAAAAAAAAAAAAAAAAAAAAAAUUCUCCAUUUACAUAAGGGGGCUCAAAUCUCUCCAUGAAGAGGAAAUAAUUUUAUUUCCCUUAAGCUUUGAGAUGAUCAAGGGAGAUGGGUAAGGAAACCAGUGAAGAUCUGGAGCAGGUCGGGGAGAAGAGGACACCACAGAGGAAGGAAACACACAGGGCCUCCAGGCACACCCCUCCAUAAGCAGUUGGUAGAGGGCGACCACUCCUCUCAGUUAAUCUAGUUUUAUUAAAUGGCCAGACUGAAUUGAUAACCGAAUGGAUAUUUACAGGUUCUUAUUAUCCAUAGUAUGCGACAGACUAAUGCCUCAACGAGUGCUUUGGUAGGUUUUAUUUUUCUUUAGUUAUGGGAAACAUUAGGAGUGUGGAAGUCAAUCGUAGAAAAGUUUUAUUUAUCCUUAAAACUUAUUUUGCCUCGGUAAUCAAGGAUCACAUUUGGCUCAACAGGCUACUGGUACAUUUGUGGCACAAGAGAUGUGCGAAUUUGUGGUGGCAAUGUGAUUAUACUUCUCCAGACCAAUUACUAUUGACAAUAGCAAAAAUAUUUAAAUAAAAUAAAGUUCCUUAGGUCAGUUCAAUGAUGCAUGUAAAUUUCUAGAGAAAACUAAGUAUGUUGAAUUAGUUUCUAUUUUGUGCAAUAGUCUUAUUACUUUUAUCUACAGAUUUGGACAUAAAAAAUAAAAUUUUAUGAACAUAUACAUAGAAAUGUUUUGUGUCUUACAUGAAAACAGAUCCUUUAAUAUUCACAGUGAUUCACCAGCAUGCUCUGAGGAUAUGGUAAAAGGCAGUGAGAUUUUAGCAUUCCGAUGGGGCUUCUAUAUUAGGAUACUGCAUUAGCUCAAACCCAUUCCAAAAAAGAAAAUUUUAUUUUACCUAACAUGCAUUGCACAAAGAUACUGGAGGAAUGAGGUAGAAUAUAAGUCAUAUUAGCAUCGCUAGCAAUGAGCAAAAGCAGAACAACAACUAUAACAUGCAAACAUGCAGAGAAGAAGAAAGGAAAAAAAUACGGAAGCACCAGAGAAAUAGAUGCAUUUGUUAAAAGAGAUUCUCUAAGCAUACUAACCUGCUGGUUCUAAUGAAUUUUCUACUUUGUCGUUAACAUCGAAAACACGAUCAUGAACACCUAUAGUUUUCAUACAGCUAUCUAUAACAAAAAUAGAGAUAACAGCCAAAUAUGUUAGUGAAGACACCCUUAAACUCCCAUUUCUUUCUUUUUUCUUUCUCUCCUUUUUUUCUUUUUUUAUGUAGAUUGUCUUACAAUCAAUGGCAUGUUCCAAAUGCCAAUAUUGUUCCCAUUUGCUCUGCAUGUACAACAGUCUAAGAAACAACAAGUUAGCAACUGCUGUGUACUUAAGUAAAAGCAUCAUGAAGAAUGAGAAAAAAUAUGAUGAAAACUAAAAUAUGAAUGUUGAUAUACAAAACAGAUACCACACAAGAUUUAACAGUAAAAAAAAGUUUUACCGCCGUGAACCAGACCACACAAUAAAGCAUGCGCGGUGAAGCCACCCUCUGAAGCUCAUUCUAGUGAACUUACUUGUUGGUCUCACAAAGACUUUGAGCUUUAGACAGGACCUUCUUCCAUUAUCUGGGAUUGCAGAGGCUGUGGGUAACACAGAGAGAGAGCAGGAAAGAAAGAAGAGAACAACAACAUAUUACUCUUCAUUUUCACAUACAAAUGAUGAACAAUAAAUUCUUUCCUGACUUGAACAACAGGAACUUUCUCUAAUUCCUCCUCCAAAUUAAAACAAACAGUACUUUUCAGGUCUCACUGCUAUAGAAAGGCUACUUUCAUAUCCUGAGUUUCUCUUUUCAAUACAAUAAAAGAAUCAUGCAAGAAUGUGAGUAAUCUGUGAAGAAAUACUUUGGAUUUUUAUUUCAAAGUCUCUUCCAUUUAACUUGAUCUGUUAUCAAUUUUCUCUAAAUCGAGAGGAUAAUGUGUGAGCCCUCCAGCUUUCACAGAGCCGCUCCUCCUCUGCUGCAGGAAAAGGGGCCCAACAGAGGCCCAAGGUGAAAGUGCCGGCAAAAACCAAUAACAGAGAGUUACAAGGCAGACUUAAACGUGACCUAUUUCUGCUGGGGAAAGCAGAGCUUUGUCUGUACUGAAAGCUUGUCUGUCAGUGCUUUUGCAGGUAAUUCAAUUAGAGGUUUUACUCAGAACUUGGCUCUGCAUUCUAUAUGACUAACCCAAGCCCGGUAACUUCCAUCAUGCUAUUAUAAGUACAAUAUGCUAUUGAGAAAGUACUAUGUUGCAACGGUACAUGUAUUUUUUUUUUCAAUUUGCCACAGAGAAGGAUGGAAUUAAUAAAGUGGGCUUACCAAAACAUGACAGCAUGUUUCAAGUUAUAAAUCACUUGAGGAAGAAACUUUCUUCUCCUUUUCAAGAUAAUAAGACUGUAAACUUUCCCUAUGGUUGAAAGAUUAUCUCCCCUGUGUACACACAGCAAAAUGUCAAAGGAAUUUCCAAGGGCAGUAAGGCCCUUAACAACCACAUGUAUUUACUAAUGCAUCCUAGAAAUGACAAAAAUUACAGAAACGAGCGUCGCAUACUUUCCUCCCUAUGUGUUUGCUUCAAGUGGUUUCUUUGUUCAGAAAAAGCAGAUGACAUCAAUCAAAUCACACAUGGCUUACAAUUAGUUUGGCAAUACCCAAAGUGACAAAGAGGGAUCGGCAUUUGGUGUGUCUUCUCUCUCCUUUAUUUUUAUUUUUAAAUUAUUCCUCAUGGGGAGCUGAGAACACAAAAAUGCUUCUUUUGCAGGUGAGAGGAUUCAAUAUACAAACUUCCAAACAAAUUUUACACAGUCUCCUUAUGUAAUUCUAGAUCCAAGUAACCCUCCUGGAGGAGAACUUCUAAAUUCACCAACUAAAUAAUGUCAAGUAGUAUAGGGUCCCCAGUGUCCCUAUUCAACACCUGUUGAAAACUACUUUAAUUUUAAAACAAAAGUGUAGAGAAAAAGUGUUUUUGGUCCUCCCUAUCUCCCCUGGUUGCUCUGACAAGCAGUUAAGAAGUGCUAACAGCUGGCUUUGCUGUAGGCUUUCAUUAAAUCAUAGCCAGAAAAACUCCCUCUACUGACAUUUACAGUAACUAGUGUGUUAUUUAGGGCACAAUAUUUGCACUCUGCGGUUUGAUCCAGGAAAUGGUGUCCUUCCUGUGGACCUCAACUGCAAAUGUGCAUGUCACAAAUACAGUACACAUAGGUGACUCCAAUUCAUUAGGAAAACCACGGGUUCCUGAGGGAGUAUAUGUCUUAUUCAUGAGAGUUAGUGUGAAAAAAGUGACACAUGGAUGUUCACACUGCUGUUCAAUGAAUUUCUGAGCUGAGAUGAACUCACUUCAAGCCUUGUGAACUUGAUUUGCUACAUGCACAUAACUGACUUUACAGAUGAUACUGCUAGAUAAACAGGCUGAAGACAGAAUCAAAUGCUUAAUUGGUUUAGCGAGGAGCUUCUUGGAUUUAGUACAGGUCUUUCAGAUUUUUCUUUAGGAGAAAUAAAUCCAGGACAUGAAAAUUAUUGUAGGGCACAUGGCAAUAACUAAACAGCAAACGAUACGCCUCCAGGAAAAAACUGGAGAGUUCUCUCCAUGAGCUCUCAAGGAGGGACACAGUCUUAGCUACUGGAUGUGCUCCAUACUUCUGUGAAUUAAAAAUAUGAAAUACAUUUGUAUUUAAAUGACACAUAAAAUAAAAACCUCUCUUCCCUAACAACCUGCCCCACUACUUCCUCAUUUUCUGUCACCAGGAAAUGUGACUGAUGCCUUGUGAUACUGUGACUAUUAUACUCUAAUCCUUAGAAAAAUUUGUGAACAAAGAAUAUUAGCACACAAUGUGAUAUGUGAGUACACAACACAGAUUGCAUGCCAUGGAUUCACUCGAUCAUCACUGCAUCACUGGCCUGAGCUCAAGGAGUAAACUCCUAACCCUUACAGCCAACCUGAGAAGUGUGCCUUACUAGGUCAGUAUAACUUGGGUUUCUUAUUUAACACCUUGAAAAACAAACAAACAAAAAAAUCCAAAAAGAUGAAAACGUUUUCCAUGUAGUAGCAAAACUCCAUUUUUUAAAUGUAACGUUUAAUAAAGUUAAAGUGUGGCUUUCCUCUAUGUUAUGCUCAAGGUUCUGUCACCCCACACUUCUUGGCUGACAAAUGUAGGAUGCCUUUAUACCAACUAAAAAAUACAGAUAAUUAAUUAUUAGUACUAUUUGAAGACAUAAGGUAAUAUAAAAGUGCAUUACUAAUCACAAGUAAACAAAAGGCAGAGGACUGAGCACUAAAAACAAAACAUAACAGAGGAAUUGAAACAUGUAACAUUCCCACUAAUAAACUUAUAAAGAAAAUCUCAGGAUCAAUUUAUGAGCAAUAGAUAGAGCUGAGGAUGGAAAUGAGGGAGUAAAAUCUUAAAACAUGCCUCGUUUUUGUCAGGAGGUAGGUAGUAUUAAUCCUUAUGGCUCUAGAGAUACAUCACUUUGUCAUGGCCAACUUUAUCUUAGUUAAAAGUAAAUAUGUAAGUAUUUUAUACAUAAAUUAUAUACAUAAAUAUAUAUAAAUUUAUAUACAUAAAUUAUAUUCACUAUAUAUAACUUCUUGUGCUGCUUUCCUUAGAAAAUGAAUAGUCGAUGUUGAAAGUUGAUAACGAAUAAUUAUAAAAAUCCAUUACAUAUUACUGCAGCUUCAUCUAUCAUUUCAAAUGCUUUUAAAAUGCCUACUAUGGGUUGGGUGCAGUGGCUCAUGCCUGCAAUCCCAACACUGUGGGAGGCCAAGCCGGAUGGAUCACUUAAGGCCAGGAGUUCGAGACCAGCCUGGCCAACUUGGCAAAACCCUGUCUCUACGAAAAAUGCAAAAAUUAGCUGGGCAUGGUGGCACACACUUGUAAUCCCAGCUACUCGGGAGGCUAAUGCAUGAGAAUUGCUUGAGCCCAGGAGGCAGAGGUUGCAGUGAGCCGAGACUGAGCUACUGUACUCCAGCUUAGCAACAGAGCUAGACUCUGUAUCAAAAAUAAAUAAAUAAAAUAAAAUGCCUACUAUGCAUCAGCUUCUUUAUUAGGUGCUGUGCAUGCGAAGAUAUAUAAGAUUUCAAACUGUCCCUGCCCUUGUGUUGUGGUUCUUCAAGCUGGGACAUAAAUAUGAACCACAGUUUAGCGUACCUGGAGGGAUCCAUGUGACAACUGAGGUUUACAUGAAGAGCCAGCACAGCUCUGGGCAGGGAGCAAGAGUGUGUCCCAGACAUGUUUAUCAGAGGCUUCACAGGUCCUCCAGAAGCUAACCAGCAGCAACUGGGACAGAAGACAUUUUAUCCCUAAAUUUCCAAACCAGAGCUUUGGCAACCAAAAAGAGGCAGUGACUUGCAAACAGGUGAAAAAAAAAUCUAGAUCUGAAAUCUUCCUCUAAAGACACAUGGAUUUUCUAAUAGAAUUUUUCAACUAAAAUGAGAAAUGUCUUAAAACAGUUGUCACAUCAUCCAAAUUCACACCCAUUUACUCAGUUUACUGCUUAAAGUGUAAGUUGGAGUCAGGAAGUUGGGAGUAGGGAUAUGGGGACAAUUAAAACAAGCACAAUGUCCCAUUCCAUUAUCUUAAUAGCAACUUUAUAAAUCAAUCCAUAGAGUCCCUUCCCCUGAAUGAGCUGCAACGUACCAAUCAAAACCUUUUAACACAUAAUGAAAUACAAGCUGGAGACUCUCUGGUUCUCUGUGUUUCGAGUACUCUGCUAAUAAGGCCAUGAGGGCCCCUUACUUUUACUCUGUUCCAUGACCUCAGACAGGGGCUCUAACUUGAGCCUUCCCAAAAAUCUUGGUCUCCUGGGGCUCAGGUGAGCAUGACUCAGCACUUAGCCAACUUGGUAUAGAAAAUGACGAUAUUCAGUGCCCCCAAAUCAGUACUUCUAAAAGUUAUAUUUAGCAAUGCAAAUAUAUGUAACAUUCAUACCACAAUUCACCAUAGAUCUAUCAUUCAGACAUAGUAGAGAACACAUCCCUUCGGGUACUGCCAUCAUGCUUGUGGCGGGCAGCUUCUGACAUGGGUCCCAGGUAUCCCCACAUUCCUGUAGGCAGUCCUUUGUAUAAUCCCCUCCCCUUGAGAGGCGACUGAACCUAUUAACUUGCUUCUAAAGAGUAGAACAUGGCAAAAGUGAUGGGAUGUCAUUCUGAUUGUUACAAAAGACUGUACCUUACUUCUAGUGAACACUCUCUCUUUUGCUCAUGAAGCAAGGUACCAUAUUGUGAGAUUUCCAAUGGAGAGGACCAUGUAGCAAGAAACUAACAGAGACUUCCAGCCAAGAGGUACAAGGAACUGAUGUCAUAGUUCAACAACCCACAAAGAACUGAAUUGGCUAACAAUCGGGUCCUGGAUUACAUGCUGCCUCCUCAGAGAAGCCUCCUAUGACCACCUAAUCGAAAGCUAUCUCCAUGUUUCUCUGGCACUGCAUCCAGCUCCCUACUAGUAUAACUGACAGUUAUAGAUUUGUUUGUUUCCUGGUUUAUUGUCUACUUCCUGAUGAAGCUGUAAGCUCCAGAAGCAGGAACCAUUCUUUAAUAUAUCACAGUGUUUCUAAAAUCUAACAUAGUGCUUGGCACAAAGGAGGUACCCAAGAAACACUUUGGUAGGAGUGAAUAAGCGAAUGAACAGAAAACUGAAUUAGCCAGAAAUAUUCAAGGUUAUAUAUUACAAAAAAUAACCAAAGGCAGCAAGGUGUUCCAGAAACUUGAGAUCUUCACAGAUUGAUUUGCUAUGUUUUUCACUCUCUGUGAAUAUUACCUUUUAUAUUUCCUCUUGCUAAUGCACAGAGCAAUCUCAUAGCUAGCUAGAUGAAAACUUUGCCUACUUUAUUACUGCUGCAAGCUUAUUGAGAGAUUUGUUUACUAUUUGAUUUUCCCAGAAACCUUAGUUUAGCAAUCAGACAAUGCACAGAUGGAUAACAAAAGAUUGAUAAAUUACAAUUAUAACUUUAACAUGUAGUAUAGUAAAUAAAUCAAUGAUGCAUUUUUAGGAGCUUCUAGCAUAUGAAAAGCCUGCAGAAUGGAAAAAAGGAUAACCAUCCUUUAACAUUUUGUUUCUAUUUCUUAAGAAAUUUCUGCAGCUAACAUAUAAAAACAAGUAUUCUAUCCAUUAGCCAUGAUAGUAAUACCGAUGUGCUACUUAAGUUUUAAGGAAUCAUUUAUAUUUCUAUGCUGACUCCACAUGUCACACAAAUAGGAAGAUUUAUUGUAUUACUUGGCAUUUUGAGGAAAAAAUCAAUCUAUUUUGCCGCUGCUUAGUGGAAGAAAACUCUUGGGUCAACUUAUCUUUUUAAUCUAAGAGGUCUCAAUUGAAAUUGGCUUUGAAGUUUGCUAAUUACAAAACUCAACAGGGGUUUUCCCUUAUUUGGUGUAACUCAUAUUUCUAUUCAUUAACCCCAGUUUUAAAAAGAUUAAAAAAGUCUGAAUAGAAACAACUUAAAAGUUUGAAGAACAGCCUCUCCCCUGUGAUACCUUUACAGAUACUUCAAGUGCAAACUUCCCCCAUACUAUCAAAUUCUAUUUAAUUACAAAUCUUCUGUGGUUGCAGGAGGGGGAGGUAAAACACAUACAUUUUGAACUUUCCAACCACACAGGGCUGUAGGAAGAUGAGAAAUCAGUAAAUUCUUUUCACUCUAUAUAUUGGGGAAAUUUAUGUCAACCUGAGUUACAAGGAAAUCAAGAUUCUGAAGGGCAAUCCUGCUAGCUGCUUUUGCAGGGCCAAGCCACUGGGUUCAGAUGCUUUCAUUCGGGUGAAAAGAUCAUUACCAGGCGGCUCCGGGGAAGUUGGCCCUCCUGUAAGUGUGCUCCUUUGUUAUGAAUAUGGAACAGAUGGAGCCAAAUCUAUCUGCUCUGUAGGAACAAAAACACUUACAACCCAGCUCUCUCUAUUAAAGACUCUACUUAGCUCCUUUAUACCAUCGGCUUUCUGUGCACUGCUGUGAGGUUUUGACUUUAUAGAAAAAGGCACUUCAUAAAAGCAACAGUUCUUACUCUUAAACCAAAGUGGCCUAAGAACUAAAGAAGAUGAAUACAUGGUUUCACCGACAGGACUCCUUGGAGAUAUGUAGAUAUUCAAUUAGGGGUGUAUGUGUGUGUAGGAGGAGGAGGAAGACUGUAUUCAAUUCUGGUAAAUGUCUGCAUUAAAACAACAUGAAAAUAUAGAAAAGAGCGAUGAAGAUGUCAUGUUUCUCAUUACAAGGAUGGCAUCUAAUUGCUCUAGCAUAAUAAAAUGGCAAGAUUUAAUUGUGUAUAUAUGUCUGUAAGGCUAGCGAGGGCUGUCUUGAACAAAAAAUAUGACUAUGCACAACAAAAUCAUGCAGGUAAAUAUGAUUAGUAAUUAGGACCAUACCACAAAACAAAGGCUAUAUGAUGCUUCUUCACUAUGAAAAAUAAUAUUAAUUACUUUCAGCAUCAUCAUGCCAAUUUGCUUUUACAGUCUGAAAGAUGUAAACACUGCAGGUAAAACCAAUGCAUGCAUUUAUUUAUCAUGCCACAAGAAAUCUACAGCCAUCCCUACAACGUGCUGUUGCCAAGAUAUAUGUGCUGACAGCAAGGUAAGUUUCACAGGCUUCCGGGUGUGGAUACACUACUGUAUACGCACCUUCCAUUGAUAGCAACAGGGGGAAAGGAGUGUCUGCCUUAUUUCAUUACAUUUAUUAUACUGAUACAUUUAAAGUCUGGCUGCCUCUUCGGAGAUAAUUGAAAAAAGAAAUUCUGUGGCAGGAUGCUUUGAUUCUGACUAAAUCAAGUCUUCGGGCAAAUUUCCUCCUGCCAGUGGAAGCACAGCUUGCCUGAAGUCGUAACCUUUGUGGGAGGAAAGGAACUGGCCUUGAAGCAGAUCAUGAAGCAAAUGUUUUAUGCCAAAUCAGAGUCUGGGGAUACGUAGGCUACUGCAAAUAAAACUCUUCUUCUGUCUGUUCAAUCAUUUCAAUUCCCUGCAGUGUGAAAUAUGAACUUGCCAACAAAUGGCCAGCGUGCUGUGCCUCGCAGCAGGGGGGGAAGUGCCACAGCUGUGCCAGAGACUGGAAAACUCAAGAUGCGCAUGACAUGUUCAUUAGUUCCCCUGUAUAGCCAGGGCCUGAACCACGCCAGUCUCCAGAACCAUCCACAGGGAAGCAGAAGGAGUGUUUACUAUACCCAAAAGAGUUAGACACGAUUUCCACCAAAAUGAGUUGCACAACUUGUGAUCCCUUUGAUGACCCGAGAAGGUUAGUCUUUAAAACAAGAACACAUCUCUGGACAGGAAUAGACAGAAAAUAUUAUGUCUGCCAAUGAUUACAGUUUUUUUCUGACUUUAUUAGCAGCCUGCUCUGUGAGCAAUAAAAAAUGAAAUAAUGAAUAAUACUUUCAGUAUCCAAGCAUCUAUGAGAGAUUGAAAGAAUUUAGAUGUCUCUUCUCUUUAUCAGAAAGACAGAUUUGUGGAAAAUGCCUGGCUCACCCGUUGCAGGCAAACAUAACACUAGUUCUUCCUAGUGUAGUAGCCUUCUACUGCAUUCUACAUUACAGUUUCACAAUAAUAAAAUAGUUAUUUGUCUAAAUUAAAGUAACAUUAGACUAACAAAUUUCAAUUUGAUGUCCUUUGCCGCAUAUUGAACAUACAUAUUCACACAUAGCUUUAUAUCUGCAACCCUAGAUAUAAAUAUCCCAUAUUCAGUUCUAUUGUGAGAUUUUUCAAAGGUUAUUCACAUGCUUUCUAGUGCCACAUUCUUUCAAAUUUUAAUCAUGAGCUCCCUAAAUAGAAGUCAUUUGCAUCUGUAAACAUUCCCUUGCAGUAGUAUUUAGCAGUGUAUUCUCUUUGUGCAGAGCUAUUUUAAAAGGAAAAUAAACCUUAAUAUGGAACAACAAUCAAGCAUGAGCAUAAAGAGGUAAAUUAGAGGCUUGAGAAACCCUGUAAACCCUUUAUGUAAUUUCUGAAAAAUGUCUGAAGUUUCUCAAUCUUAAAAUAGCCCAGAAUCAUAUAGCUUAUUUCAGAUGGUGGAUUAUAGGGAUACUAUUCAUAUAAUCCAACUUAUGACCUAAAUCAUAAGAACAUAUUCAAGAAAUGAAAUGAGUUUGAGAUAAUUUACUAUUCUGAAAUGAGGCCAAAUAAGUACACAUGGUUCAAGCUCGAAAUGAUAGACCAUUAUCACAAGUGAUGGCGAGUUCUCAUUAGUCUGGCAUUUCUAAAUCAAUGUUGUAGUCAAUAAAUCUGUUGCAGAAUGGUUACACAUGAUCGUUUUUAGGAAUUAAUAACAAGACAUAUAUUUUUGUUUUAGGAUUCUUUUCACUCCAAUUACUCUAGAAUAUUAUUUCUUCAUAAUGUUUAUUUUUCUCUAUUUAACUUGACCAAAUACAAAUUAGAAACAUUAAAUUAUUUCUUAAUUGACAUGGAGCUUGGUGGAAGCAAACAUCAUCUCAGGAUGUACAAUACUAUUAAUAUUUUUAUAACAGCUAUCAAUUAUCUACUAUUUCCAUGCACCAGGAACUGUGCCAGGUUUAUUAAGUUUAAUCCUCAGCACAUUUCUUCGAGGCAGGUAUUAUUAUCCUCAUUUUAGAGAUGAGGAAACUGAGGCUUAGGGAGGAUAAGCAGUUAGGCGAUGUCAUACAUAGCUAGUGUAGGGUGGAACGGAUAUUCAAUUCCAAGUCUUCCUGAUGCCAGAACUAUACAACCUCAGUUUACAGUAUAAAUCAUACUUUUCUUCCUGACUACCCUACUUCAAAUAUUUGUUUCAUAAUUUCCCAGAAGCUCUUAAAGGCCCUUCCAGAAAAGUCUGGGGGAGGUUGAAACUUGGUAGAACUUGACUGUGUAAUCUUAAGCAUGUGCAACAGAUUUCAAUAAAAAAGCUGCAUGGUGAUUUUGCCCGCAGAGACAUGCCCUAUGCAUAUUUUCUAAUCAGGUGCAUGUCAAGAAAAAGCCUUUUAAUAUUAUAUUACUGUAACUGUCGUACUCCUUUUUUAAAAUUUUAGUUUUUCAAGCUACAGUAGGACUUUAUGAUGUGCUCCUAAGUACCCACAUGCACUAUGGCAGGAGGAAACAGGAAACAAACACAGUAACCUAAUGUUCCAAGAAGAAAACUGGAAGAACCGGCAGCGAUACUCGCCAUGAAAGAAGACAUUUCCCAGCCUGGCCUUGCCAUCUCUGACCUCACAGCAUGUCCCUUGAGAUUUGGGCAGCCCUUGCCUGCUCCCACUCCUGUGAUGCCUCAGCCCUGGCCGGAAAGAGAAGCAAACUAGCUGAUGAUGCUGUGCCACGAGAACCAAAAGGAACAUACAAAUCAGAAACGUCUGUUAUCCAAACCCAACUGAGAAGGCUCUGUCUCAGGAAGGGACCUCCCCAUUUACAUACAGACAUUCCAGGGCCUUUCUGGAUGUCUCUGAAAAGUAACAGAUGCAGCAGAUUCACUCAUUUUUACCUUAAAGUCAAUAAGGUACACCAAAGGUGACUUUGUAUCUAUUUUUUUCCUUCUGUAAUGCAAGUAUUUAAUCAAUGAAUGUCCUAUUUAAUGGCAUGUGUUAACAUUUUUCUAUACCAUCUGUUUGCCAAAAAUUACUUACUUUAACAGACCGAAUUCACAGAAUCUCAGUUAGCCCAAGAAGCAAAAAGGAUUCUGCUAUACUUGGGGCAAAUGGGCAACAGUCCAGAGUGAUCCUGGUGGAAACUAAGUCAGAUCAUGUUACUUCUGUGUUCUAAACUCUCCAAUGGCUCCAAUCUGACUCAGAGUGAAAUCCCAGAUCCUUACCAUGGUCUAUGAUGAACCGCCCCCCAUACUCCAUAGCACCAAUUAAUAUUUGUAUACAUAUUCUAUGUAUUUAUAUACAUAGAAUGUAUACAAAUACAUAUAUUUGUAUACAUAUUCUAUGUAUUUAUAUACAUAGAAUGUAUA
rnacentral:lncRNA from 1 species